CCAAGGCAAGCAGACUUUCGGACUCCAUAUCAUCUCCCUGCUAAGAAACUGCUGCAGUCACAGGUGAGGUUCCCUGGGAAUCCAACUGUGGGACAGUGACUGGCUUGUGCCAAGAGAGGAGAUGCCCUCAGGAUCAUAACUGAUCAGAAGAGAAGAAAGCACGAUUGAGCGGAGGGAAUCAUCAUGGAAGCAUUAAUCAAUUCUACAAGGAGCUCUGAGGAAAGGGAGAUUGAAGCCUGUGGGGAAUCCUUCAGCUGCGAACUGUGAGGUUGGGCAUCACAAGACUAACCCCCACCCACCACACACUGGAUUGGCAACAACAGCUGCAGUGACAGGGGUGCCUCACUACCAAACACAGGGUGAUGAGGGUAAAAGCAAUCAAAUCCAGCAGAGAAGCUGAAGUCAUGGGGUCUCAAAUAGAGGUGAGAGACCUUUGU